UGCGUAUUCAUUUUCCGGAUAGCAAAUACCUUUGUGGCUUCGUAAGCGAUGAAAUAUUCGGAAUUUUUUUUCGUCAUUCCGAAAUUUCUGGGCUACACCCUUCAACUAUACAUGCUCGCAACGGCCAUGCCCCCCCGGUCGCCAUUACUUCUGGAGAAUGCCCCCUCCCCCUCCAACUUUUUGAUGCUUUCUACGCUCCUGCCGGGAAAAACGUUUUCCUAUAUGGCAUAUGAACACAACUUUCCCGCUUGGUGGGAUAACUUUCUGUCGUGCCAGAAACUUUUCAAUUCAAUUGAUGUUCAAUGCUACGUCAUGACGGUACAUGACAAUAGAUGACAGUAGAUGACACUAGAUGACGGUAGAUGACACUAGAUGACGGUAGAUGACGGUAGAUGACACUAGAUGACGGUAGAUGACGAUAGAUGACAUUAGAUGACGGUAGAUGACACUAGAUGACGGUAGAUGACAGUAGAUGACAGUAUAUGACUGUAAAUCACACUAGAUGACGGUAGAUGACACUAGAUGACGGUAGACGACGGUAGUUGACAGUAGAUGACAGUAGAUGACAGUAGAUGACGGUAGAUGACACUAGAUGACGGUAGAUGACACUAGAUGACGGUGGAUUACACUAGAUGACGGUAGAUGACACUAGAUGACGGUAGAUGACAGUAGAUGACAGUAGAUGACAGUAUAUGACUGUAAAUCACACUAGAUGACGGUAGAUGACACUAGAUGACAGUGGAUUACACUAGACGGUAGAUGACACUAGAUGACGGUAGAUGACGGUAGAUGACAGUAGAUGACAGUAGAUGACACUAGAUGACGGUAGAUGACAGUAGAUGACAGUAGAUGACAGUAGAUGAC
rnacentral:lncRNA from 1 species